rnacentral:rRNA from 1 species
UACGUAGGGGGCAAGCGUUGUCCGGAAUUAUUGGGCGUAAAGCGCGCGCAGGCGGUCGUUUAAGUCUGGUGUUUAAGCCCGGGGCUCAACCCCGGUACGCACUGGAAACUGGGCGACUGGAGUGCAGAAGAGGAGAGUGGAAUUCCACGUGUAGCGGUGAAAUGCGUAGAUAUGUGGAGGAACACCAGUGGCGAAGGCGACUCUCUGGUCUGUAACUGACGCUGAGGCGCGAAAGCGUGGGGAGCAAACAGG